AGGCGGGUGGCGCGCGGCAGCAGGGUUGGGCUCUCGCCGUGAGUCGACGAAGGGAGCGCGGGCGCGCGCCCGCGUCCGCGCACUGAGAGUCGCCUCGGCCGCUCGCUUUCUCGACUCCCGCCUCGCGCCUCGAUCCUGUUCCGCCUCCCUCGGCCCUCCUGCCCGCCCCCACUCGUCGGCCCUCAGGUACCUAAAAUGUCUCAUUAUUCAUCAAUUAAUGAAAAACAAAUGAAAAUUUGAGAGAGAUAUUCUGAAGAAUAAAAGGAUCAAGUUGGGUCAUUUCUAAAAUCUCAGAGACCUAAUAGGAUGGGGUCUUAGAGAAACAUCUUUUGAGCCACAGACUUCUUUGUUACCAGAAGGAAAAUGAAAGAAGAAAUUUAAAUACCACUUGAAGAGAGGUGCUGCCCAGUUCAUGAGUGCUGCUGCUGUCCUGCCCAAGUACCCAGCUUGCAGAGUGCCAGAGUUAGAGUCCCAGGGGUGUUCUCCACAGCUGCAUGCUUGAUCCAGGCCUAUCAGGUGAGUUGGCUCUUGGCUAGUGGUUUUUCUUCUCUUGCUGUACAAAAGUCCAGACAGUAAUGUCUUUUUUUCAUUUUUAUAGAUAUAUUCCAUUGAAAGUCCUCAUUCUCAAAUUUAAAACAAAGACUUUUUGUGUACCUCAAUAGCAAUGCACACACAGUUGGCUUCACAAACAUAUUGUACAUUUCUUUUUUUCAUAUUUAUUCAACAAAUGUAUAUUGACUACCCACCGUGUGACAGGUGUUAUUUGUUGACGGAACCAGGCAUCAUCAGCAAACAAAACUGACAAAGCUUCCUGCCCUCUGUGGAAGGCAUCUGAGGAAGAGACUGGAUUUUGUAGCAACAUGUUAUUCUCAUUAUAAACUUUAUCAUUGGAAUACUAAAGCCAAAUCAUCCCCCAUCUCCUUGAUCAGGAUACCCACUUAAUCUAGGCAGCUACACAAUUGUGAGAGCCUUUGUUUUUUUCUGCUGAAACAUCCUUAAAAAGAUACCUCACAACCCAAGAUUUGGCUUUUCUUAAAUACGAUUUUUAAUUUUUUUCAUUUCUAUCUAGAGAUUUAAUUGGAAAUGGAAAAUCAUCAAUUUUCCAAUUAAAUGUCUGUUCCAAUCAACAUUAUACCUUUUAGGUUGUCAUUGUCAUUUUUAAGUUUAAGCAACUUUAAGGAUUUUGAAUCUGGCUGCCUGUAAAUUAAAGGUGAAAGUAAUCAUUGUGUUGGAUUGGAACAUUUUGUCAAUUGAGAGUGGUUUCCUUGUUCUUAGUGUAUGAAAAGUUUAUUUUUCUAAUGUAGAUUAAUAAAGGAGAUAAAGAAAAACAAAA
rnacentral:lncRNA from 1 species